ACAGAUAUGGAAACUGAGCCCUCACACAUGGACUGAAUUCUGACAAGCAGAGGAUAAAGGCAGAACAACAUGACUGAAGGCGAUGAGGAACAGCUGAUCACCUGUGGAAGUCAUUUGUCCUAAAUUGUCAUGGACAGACCAUGUGCCUUACAGCAAGAAAAUUCUGUGAAUAAACAGGAAGCCAGCCAGCCAGGGAAGAUGCUUUUGUGAUAUAUCCCAGCAUGCUGAUGACCCCAAGGAGGACCACUGGAUACCUAGCAAGAUUCUCCCAUUGAGAAGCAUUUCUGUGAGCUCUGGAAGUCAGGUGAAAAGGAGAAGUCAUAAUCUAUGGCAGCAGCUAUGGGAAGGAAAAAGAAGAACUGAUUGAAGAGUGGCAACCAGAACCUCUUGUUCCUCCUGUCCCAAAAGACCAUCCUGCUCUCAACUACAACAUCGUUUCAGGAAAAACAUCAAGAAAAGGGCAGUAAGAAUGUUAUUUAAAAAUAUGGAGGUAAAUUUCAGAAGAAAAUGCCGAAAAUGUUUGCCUUUGGAAAACGAGAAUCAAGGGUGAGAAUGGAAACAUCUGCGUGAGAAGGGCCCCUCUCAUAAAAUGAAAACAAAGGACAGAAAGCAUUGCUGAGGGCUUAAGGUGUGGAUGAAAUGACACAUUGAAGCUGAAGAAUCCCCAUGUUGACAGCAUUCAAUCCAAGAAAAGCUCCACUGUACACAUGUUCUAACAUAUG
rnacentral:lncRNA from 10 species